CCCUGGUUUGCUCAGUUGGUAGAGCGCUCCACCUGUAAUGGAGAGGUCCCGGGUUCGAUACCCGAACCAGGCG
rnacentral:tRNA from 1 species